ensembl:lncRNA
UGAGCUCAAAAAUACUGUUUUAUUGAUGUCAAAUAUGAUGCUCAGAAGUGAUACACAAACAGAACAAAACUAAACUGGAGUAAACUCAGAACGCACAGGGAAAGACAGCAUAAGUGGGAAACCAACAUUAACAACUCGACGCUGAACACAGGACUGCAUGCUUCGGAGUCCUCCAAAUGCGGUCAACAAAUGCGCCCUUCAUUUCCCGAGAUUUGAAGGAUGGGUCCGGUGUAGAGUUCGUGACCCAAUCUAUCACACAAUACAUAGUGCUGUAGUGGGUGUGGAUAUUUUUCUCAGAACAAAAAAAACGGCGGAUGGCUGAAGCGGGGUGGACGAAGAGUAAACUUUUAAAAGUAAGUAUUGAAUAAUAUGUCACUUAUUUAUGUGCAAAUGUUUAAUAAUGAAGAACAUUAAAACAUUAUUGGCCACAUGUCGGCAAAGUUAUGUGACAUUAGUGAUGUUUGUACUUUCAGCGGUUACUUGGUUAUAAAGCCUUUACUUUAAAAUAUACGCCGUUCAGUAGUCAACCUUAAUCUUACAGAGAAUGUGAUGAUUUUAUGGAUAAUUAAAGUCAGUCAUAUAUCCACAAACACAACAAGCUGAAAGUCAGUGAUGCUGCUCGGUUUGCAGUCCUGAAUAUCACGGCACAAGCAGGAUUCACUGCACUGUUAAUGUUAGCUAUGUUAUAUUGCUGCCUCUGUUCGGUGGUGUCGAGCCAAACGGACUUUAACGUGUGUUUGAACGAGCUGACGGUUCACUCGUUAAGCUGAAAGAAAGAUGCUUUAAUCACAGGAGUCACACAUGUGUCCACUGUACCAUCUGGGAACUCUUGGUGUUUAGCACUCGUAAUAACACAAACACUAAAUCCUCCUUCUCUUGUGCUGUUUUGUAGCAGUGUAUACACCUGAGACUGUCACCUGUCUGUCUGUCCUGCACUCUCUCUCUGUUUCUUUCUCUCUGAUUGUGGAAUAAAAGUAUGAACAUGUAUUUAUAAGUUACACUUGUGUUUGAAUCCUGCAGCUUAUCACACAUUUGAUUUCAAUGUGUGACAACUGCAAGUGUCCAGAGUGAGGACAGACUGAGGGACCCACUGCUGCACAUCAUCUGUGAGGCUUUGCACCCCUGAUGAUCCACCAGGACAAACUCAGCAGUGUGUGAGGAAGAGGAGGAGGAAGAGCCAGCAGCAGCUGACAGAUGGAGAGAAUAGACAGACUGUUCCCUGUUUGUGAAGGACUGCUAGGAAAGUUUAACAUAACUAAUUGUCUGUCCUGAAUCAGUCUUAUUAGGUAAUGUUCAAAUAAUGUUAUCAUCCCAGUGUUUUCAGUGUGGGAGAAAGUACUCAGGGCCUUCAAGUUACACACUAUGAAAGGCAGCAACAAGUUUCAUAUUCAGAAACCUAAAGUAUGUAUCAGCAGCAGAAUGGAGCUAAAAAUAAACAUUUGUUUCAGUUCUAUGAAGCUUUGAGUAUUUGUGAUUAGUAGCACUGCUGUGUUUGUUGCAUCAUAUUGCUGUAAUUGUUUAUAUGCUUUAUAUAUUCUGAGGUAAGUUGAUCUAUAGUGUUACAUCAUAUUCUAUAAGGAUGUUAUGUGUUUGUAUACUUUCUGCCCAGUUUGACCCAUUUAGCAGAAGUCAGCCUGUUUAAGGCUCUGAUAUCUAUUCUGUAUGACUUAAAGCAGUUAUGACAUGGUCUGAUUUUAUCACCCAAUAAAGGAAUAUUUCAUAUAUCAGUCUGAUCUUCAUUCUAUCAGAAACAGUUAUCACAGCUCGUACAUUUGCUUUUUACACAUAUAUAUAAGCAUUGAGCCAAAUUUAGUAAUGCCAACAUACUGAAGGAACAACAUUUGUCUCUUAUAUAUAAUACAUCUAUAUAUACACUGUCAGAGAUACUUGUCUUUGAGUGAAGAUUUAAGGUGAUAGGAAAUAUAAAUAACUGCAACUUGAAUCUUUACUGAAGCUCAGUAUUUGACACAGAGUUCACUCACAUGAAUUUCACUCACAUGUGCUGUACCAGUGUACCUGCACAUGUGAUGUGACAAUAAAAGUGAUUUGAUUUUAAAAGUGAACUCCAUAGUUCUUGAUUCUAUGGAGAUUAACAGUAAUCCAGAAAUUUACAAAGUUGUCCCUGGGCCAUCGUGUUAAUGUUGUCCCUGGGACAUCAUGUUAAUGUUGUCCCUGGGACAUCGUGUUAAUGUUGUCCCUGGGACAUCGUGUAAAUGUCGUCCCUGGAACAUCAUGUUAAUGUUGUCCCUGGGCCAUCGUGUUAAUGUUGUCCCUGGGCCAUCGUGUUAAUGUUGUCCCUGGGACAUCGUGUAAAUGUUGUCCCUGGAACACCGUGUAAAUGUUGUCCCUGGAACACCGUGUAAAUGUUGUCCCUGGAACACCGUGUAAAUGUUGUCCCUGGAACACCGUGUCCCUGGGAGACCGUGUAAAUGUUGUCCCUGGGACACCGUGUAAAUGUCGUCCCUGGAACACCGUGUAAAUGUUGUCCCUGGAACACCGUGUCCCUGGGACACCGUGUAAAUGUUGUCCCUGGGACACCGUGUAAAUGUCGUCCCUGGGACAUUGUGUUAAAGUUGCCAGAGACAUACCAUAUGAAAGUUUAGGCAUUUCUUUUAGCCCCUGUUUGUUUUAUAUUAUACAUAUAUUGUUUUAAUAUUAUAUUUAAUAUUUACAUUGUAUUGCGAAAAAACCCAAAACAAGUUAAAAUGAAUUAAUGAUUAUUGACUAAUUAAACCUUUGUUAUUUUUCCACCAGAAAUGGACGAUAUAAUUAGAAGAAGUGUCCUGAAUGACGAAAAAAAAAAGAACUGGAAAAGAUACACAACUUUGUGUGCAUGUGUCACAAUGCCAGGAGGACCCAUUUAGUGUUGUGUUAGAAAAAUUGAACUCAUUAACCCUUCAUGGACAUUAUAAAUGUUUAAAUGUGGCCUCAGGUAAAGACAGGAAGAGAGACUAUUACAAAUUCAACUGCAUCAGAGCUGGAAAAAAAAGUCGGAACAGCUACAAAGCAGUGGGCUGUAAGGCCUAUGUUUCAUUUAAAGUACUCAAAUGUUGGAAAGACCACACAGUCAUCGUGCAGCGUACAUAUGAUAAGCAUGAUGGGCAUGAUUCUUCGGACCCAAAAGACGCACAUUUCAACAAUAUUUCCAGUGAUUUGAGGAGGAAGAUUGAGGAACUGCUUUCCCUUGGAACUAAGCCAGCCAUCAUACUAACCGAAUGUCAUAAAUGGGCCAAAGAACAUGGACACAGAGAUCUUCACAACAGAGAGCAUUUUGUCACACCACGUGACAUUGACAGUGUUAGAACCUGCAUGAUGAGGAAGAAGCACUUUAACUGUGGAGACAGUCAAAGUGUACAUACCUUACUUAAUGGAAAACAUCAAGAACAUGUUCUCUUCUAUCAACCAUACACAUCUGACCAAGAACUAAUGAUUGUUUUGCAGACACCUGUAAUGAAAUCAAACAUGGAGAACUCUGCAAAACAGUUAGUAUUUGUUGACACCACACACUGUGUUAACCAGUAUUCAUUUCCCUUAUUCACACUUGUUGUAAGAGAUGAUCAUGGGCGUGGAGUCCCUGUGGCCUAUGCUAUUGUCAGCAACGAAAGUCAGAAAACCCUGGAAACUGUUCUUGGAAUAGUUUGUGAGCAUUUCCCAACUUCACCGAGAGCAUUUAUGGUUGACAAAGACUUUGCGGAAAUAAAUGCUUUGCAGAAGGUUUUUCCAGAGUCAGCUAUCCUUCUAUGCUGGUACCAUGUCUUGCAGGCUGUUAAUUGAUGGCUUUCAAAAUCAGAGUCCGGGGUCCAUGGGCUUUCUAACACCCAAAAGAGAAAUGAAAUCAUUUCUUUGUUUUGUAAGCUGAAAGCUUGCACAUCUGAGGAAGACUUUAAAGCCACAUCAGCAGAGUUUUGCCAGACAUUUAAGCAAUAACCUUUGGUGUGCCAGUAUUUUCAGAAGCACUGGGAAGGCAUUGGCCACAUGUGGUGUGACUACGGCCGUCACUUCAGUCACGCUCGUUCUGAAACAAACAAUGUGACUGAAAGUUUUUAUCUGGCUACAAGAAUAGGCAUCUGGAUGAUCUAAUUGAAGUGCUCCUAGGGAAGGCCGACAACUACUUCUCAGUCAUAAAAACCCUGCAAGAUGUGGGCCGCAUGAAAAACAGGUUUGCUGACACCUUGUCUCAAGUUUCAGACUCUGCUUCAAGACUGAUGGAAAGUGGUUGGGCUCUUAAAAUUACAGUCAAGAACAGCCAUGGAGUUAAUGCAUAUCAAGUCCCAUCUGAGUCAAGAGAAGACAUAGUGUAUGAUGUCUGCCCUGUUGAGUCCUACUGCAACUGUACAUAUGGCUUACGAGGACUUCUUUGCAAGCAUCUAGUGUUACUUGCAAAAUUAGCAGAGGUUGACAAUGACAUCUAUCCAAACAUGGAAACAGACAUUUCUACCUUGGCAAGAAUUGCAGUGAAAGAAAGCGAGGAUGAGCUCACCCGAAACCUUGGCUGAUUAGGUCCCACACCCGCUUUCACACCUUGGCGCAUGUGAUUAGAGGAUCACCAGGGGGCCCUUUGUCCCUCCUUGGGGGGAUACUCCCACUGGGUUUAAAUCUGGGACUCUCGGCCAUUUGACCUUAGAACUGAAGAAGCUUCUCGGAUGAGAGGUGAAACGUCUUCAAGCAACUUAAAGAAGUCCAGACGCUUUUCUUUGCAAACUCCUUUGACAGUGAAAGAAAGGCAUUACUUUGUACACUGUGAGGACUUGAAAGUGAUAAAAAUGCCAAGUUUGUUUGGAAAUCUGUGUUUUUUUUUGCAUCGGCUGAAACACUUCAGUGCACUUGUUGUACGUUCUCUCACUAUAACACAUGUGCUUGCCUGAAGGUGGCUUGUAGCCAUUUUAAACAAAUGAAAAACUCUCUGAAAAGUCCUUUAUCAACUUUGAAUGACACUCCUGUAGUUGAAAGCACAGACAAAAAAUGCACAGAAGACGCGGUUGGAAAACUAAAUGCUGUUUUAGACACAGUUAAACAGUGGGCAUUUAUUCCAGAGGGCAUUACUGCAAUGAUAGAUGAACUGCAUACAAAUGUCUUAAAAACGAAACAAGAAGUAGGCAAAGGUAUAUGUCAGUACGAAAUAAAGACGACAGAUAAUGCACGCAAAAUUAGGCCAUUGCAUUCUAGCAAGAAACGUUCGGCCAGCAUCGACAUUCCAACAGUCUGUGAAAAUGAAUGUGAACAAUCGAUAACCACUGAAAGGGAGACAUCCUCUGGAGAAAAUGAAAACCUUUUGGAAUACAAAACAAAAAAGAGAAGAGUUAAAGCUAAGUAUAUGCACAAGUAGACUUUUGUGUAGAAAUUUCAAAGGGACUGCAUCCAUUACCUCUGUUUACUGAAACCUAAAGCUGAAUAGCUGUCUUAACUUUAUGCCAAGGAACAGAUGAAAAGAAAUUGUUUGGUCUCUCUCAAGCAGUUGUUAUUUAUGUGUGUUAUUCAUUACUUUGGCUUGGUUGCUGUUUUUGAUACAAAUUCAUCUGUGCCCAUUGUAAUAUUUUCAUAUGUUGCUAUUUUUAUAUUGCUAUGUAUCAUAAAUAAAGGAUUACUUAUUACUAUUACUUAUUACUAUUAAAGAUCUGCAUUUAUAAUUGUUGGUAUUAUUUAUAAAAUAUGCGCUCUUAAGUUUUUUGCUCCAUAAAACGGUACCUGUCACUUUUUGGACAUAGAGUAUCAGCUGUUGAGGACCCCUGGCUCAUACAAAAUAGAAGUAAAAGGUUUCAACAUCCAGCCUUUUUAUGAUUAAAUACAAAGUGUAAUAACAGAGUUAUCGGGGUGUGAUUUUGUUAAUAGUUAAUCAUCCUAAAUUGUAAUUUAGAGUAUGACUAAGUAUAAGUUUAAUAGUAAUGAUGAGUAAGAAAAUAUAGCCAGAGUAAUGGAAUGAGACUAAUACCUGACCUCACACUGAGAUUUGGUAUGAAGUGGCAUGUUUGUGCUAAUGCUGACAUUGGGGCUCAGAGUUCCUCUGUGUGUAUAUAUUUGUGAACGUUAACUUCGCUAAUGUCCAAGGGUUUGACUGCUUUCCUGUUGGAUUGUAUCACACAGAACAGGGAUAAGAGCACCAGUGGCCAUGCACACCCUCAUCUCUCUCCUUCACCCGAUCAUUAGUGUUGGAAACCAGCAUUAGCUCAGAGUAGAUUAGACUUCAGUAUAGUGCAAGUGAUUUGAUUUUAUGAUUAUUUGAUUCAGUUUUUUCUGUGUUCAAGCUCAAUUACUUUAAUAAAAUAUGUUGAAUUCAAAAAUUAUAAAAUGUGGACAUUACCCUUUUAAACCUUUCUGAAACAAGACAGGUAAAAACUAGUGUAUAAAAGUUUACAUAGGUAUAAACAUAGGUAGGAGACGCACUGCACCAUUGGACCUAAAUCGACACUUCAUGUGCUAUUUCUUAUGUCUGAGCAAAGGAGCAACCAAUCACACAACUGGCUCCGCCCUGUCUUUCUUGAUUGACAGGCAAAGUCAUUCUGCUGAAAAGUCGCAUUAUGAAAUAAAUAGGCCAUUGGGAAAAGCGGGAUUUUGAAAUAAAGACUGACUGAAGGGAAGACGAACACAAGGGAAAUAAAAAUGACAACAGUGUAAACAUACCAAAACUCACAAAAUAAAACAGGAAAGCUACUACAAACCGAGUGUGACACAAUUACAUUCAUAUUGAAACAUAUGUGAUAAUUUUCUUUCUUUGUAGCAUUUUUAAGAUAUGUGUUAGAACAGUCAUUAUGCUGUUUGGAUUAGGAACAAAACAUUUUUACCAAAUAGUUAACUUAAUACAAACUUAAAACAACAGUGAACAAUUUUCAAGAUUCUGAUUUACAGAACAAACAAAAGUCACAAAAGGUUUUAUUAUUUAAGAGACAAGAUCCAGUUUUUCACACAGGAAAGAAAUGACAGAAUCCAGUGCAGCAGGGCCAAAGGUGUGUGUCAGCAAACUGAAAGUUGAGGAAUCAGUCAGUUCCUGUUUAAGGUUGUGUUGGAUUUUGUGAAGAGUCUGUCUGUUAUUAGAAAGUAAGAUUAACAAUAUUACACCAAUAACCCAAAUAUGGGGAAAUGACAAAUAAUACAAAAAAAGAUACAAUUUUCAUAUUAUUCUACUAACUUACUUUGUCACAUCAGCACUUGAAUGGUCGAUGCCUUUACAGACCAUGUCUCUUGUGACAUCGCAGGCCAAUCUUCCAGCAAACCAGAGGGCUAGCUCCCCAGCCUCCUCUUCACUCAGAACACUAAACACCGUUACUUUAGUUUUGGCCUUCUUAGGCCUGUCAAGAAUCAUUGCGGGCAGUUUGGCUUUACGGCCCUAAAAAAGAAAAAGUGCAAACACCAAAAGAGCAGAGAGAGACACACACACACACACACACACACACACACACACACACACACACACACACACACACA